AAGACUAUACUUUCAGGGAUCAUUUCUAUAGUUUGUUACUAGAGAGAUGCUUCGAAAGUGAUCGGUCUUGCCUACCACAAUGAGGAGUUAUAAUGCUUUCUCCUGAGCACGAAGAAGGAUCUGUACAACAAUUAUUUGUAGUACUUUUCCAUUGAUGACUGCUUGUGUUAUACUUGGUAUAACACGAGGGCGAAAGCAUAAUCUGAGUGGU